AUAAAAAAUGACUAACUGCAAACAUAUCAAUCAAUCUGUCUUCUUCUUCUUUUUCUCUGUGAUUUAUUUCUCUUUUCCUCAUUUUUUCUUUCUCU
rnacentral:ribozyme from 13 species